GAUGAACGCUGGCGGCGCGCCUAACACAUGCAAGUCGAACGAUUAAAGCACCUUCGGGUGUGUAUAAAGUGGCGAACGGCUGAGUAACACGUGGGCAACCUGCCCCUCUCAUUGGGAUAGCCACGGGAAACCAUGGAUAAUACCGAAUACUUCGGGACUUCCGCAUGGAAGACUCGAGAAAGCUCCGGCGGAGAGGGAUGGGCCCGCGGCCUGUUAGCUUGUUGGUGGGGUAAUGGCCUACCAAGGCAAUGAUGGGUAGCUGGGUUGAGAGACCGACCAGCCAGAUUGGGACUGAGACACGGCCCAGACUCCUACGGGAGGCAGCAGUGGGGAAUCUUGCACAAUGGGCGAAAGCCUGAUGCAGCGACGCCGCGUGCGUGAUGAAGGCCUUCGGGUUGUAAACCGCUUUCAGCAGGGACGAGGCGAAAGUGACGGUACCUGCAGAAGAAGCCCCGGCUAACUACGUG
rnacentral:rRNA from 1 species